UACGAAAGUGUCUUAUUUUUUUAAAGUAUUUCAAAGUAAAAUUACAUGUUAAUACGUAGUAUUAAUGGCGAGACUCCUGAGGGAGCAGUGCCAGUCGAAGACCAAGGCUGAGACGGCACCCUAGGAAAGCGAAGCCAUUCAAUACGAAGUAUUGUAUAAAUAGAGAACAGCAG
rnacentral:sRNA from 1 species